rnacentral:sRNA from 1 species
UAUCACAACAGCAGAUAUAUCUGUUGGCUACACUUCAAUGUAUGGUUUUAUAGCAUCCAACCCACAUGACCAUUAUGGCUGCUCAUUGCAACGGUGGUGCUUAUGUUAACACCAGUUACAUAAGUUAUCCCUGUGAAGUAUGUUGUCGAGUUGCUGGCUUC